rnacentral:rRNA from 1 species
CGGUCCAGACUCCUACGGGAGGCAGCAGUGGGGAAUAUUGCACAAUGGGCGCAAGCCUGAUGCAGCCAUGCCGCGUGUGUGAAGAAGGCCUUCGGGUUGUAAAGCACUUUCAGCGGGGAGGAAGGCGUUAAGGUUAAUAACCUUGUCGAUUGACGUUACCCGCAGAAGAAGCACCGGCUAACUCCGUGCCAGCAGCCGCGGUAAUACGGAGGGUGCAAGCGUUAAUCGGAAUUACUGGGCGUAAAGCGCACGCAGGCGGUCUGUCAAGUCGGA